AGCCGAGUAAACUUCUAUCGUUAAUAUUAGCAGAUCCAAUUAAGGCAGCACGGUAUCAAUUAUCAUAACUUUACUAUGCACAUAUACCUGAAGAAAUGGAAGGCAACAAAUAAAUCGGCAAACAUGAUUAUGAUACAUUUUGAACUUUCAUUGUUUAGUUGCUAUGACAUGAUAUGCCUAUGAAAAGAAUUAAUAAAAACAGCAAACACAUAAAACCUAACUUACUGUGCAUAGAAUACUGGAUGAAGUUAUGCAAGAAACUCCUUCUUUCCACAAGGAAUUACUCCGCAACUGAAGACAAAGUUUUCAACUUCCUUUUCCCUUUAUCUUCUUCACCCAUGUAAUACCCAUCACCCCAUCCAAGUACAGCGGAACCAGAGUAAUCGUGAGCACCUUCGAUAAGAGCUUGGAGACGCUGCUGUUGGAGAGUUUCUUUAUUGAAAAGGGAAACCGAGG
rnacentral:lncRNA from 1 species